UACGAAGGGGCUAGCGUUGCUCGGAAUCACUGGGCGUAAAGCGCACGUAGGCGGCUUUCUAAGUCAGGGGUGAAAUCCUGGAGCUCAACUCCAGAACUGCCUUUGAUACUGGAGAGCUAGAGUCCGGAAGAGGUGAGUGGAACUGCGAGUGUAGAGGUGAAAUUCGUAGAUAUUCGCAAGAACACCAGUGGCGAAGGCGGCUCACUGGCCCGAUACUGACGCUGAGGCACGAAAGCGUGGGGAGCAACAGG
rnacentral:rRNA from 1 species